rnacentral:rRNA from 1 species
AUUGAACGCUGGCGGCAGGUCUAACACAUGCAAGUCGAGCGGAUGAGAGGAGCUUGCUUCUCGAUUCAGCGGCGGACGGGUGAGUAAUGCCUAGGAAUCUGCCUGGUAGUGGGGGACAACGUUUCGAAAGGAACGCUAAUACCGCAUACGUCCUACGGGAGAAAGCAGGGGACCUUCGGGCCUUGCGCUAUCAGAUGAGCCUAGGUCGGAUUAGCUAGUUGGUGAGGUAAUGGCUCACCAAGGCGACGAUCCGUAACUGGUCUGAGAGGAUGAUCAGUCACACUGGAACUGAGACACGGUCCAGACUCCUACGGGAGGCAGCAGUGGGGAAUAUUGGACAAUGGGCGAAAGCCUGAUCCAGCCAUGCCGCGUGUGUGAAGAAGGUCUUCGGAUUGUAAAGCACUUUAAGUUGGGAGGAAGGGUUGUAGAUUAAUACUCUGCAAUUUUGACGUUACCGACAGAAUUAGCACCGGCUAACUCUGUGCCAGCCGCCGCGGUAACAC